rnacentral:tRNA from 1 species
AAUGUGGCACAAUGGGUCAGUGCAUCUGGCUGUUAACCAGGAGGUUGCUGGUUUGAGCCCACUCAGAAUUC